AUGAACGCUGGCGGCGUGCCUCAUACAUGCAAGUCGAGCGAACGGACGAGAAGCUUGCCUCUCUGAUGUUAGCGGCGGACGGGUGAGUAACACGUGGAUAACCUACCUAUAAGACUGGGAUAACUUCGGGAAACCGUAGCUAAUACCGGAUAAUAUUUUGAACCGCAUGGUUCAAAAGUGAAAGACGGUCUUGCUGUCACUUAUAGAUGGAUCCGCGCUGCAUUAGCUAGUUGGUAAGGUAACGGCUUACCAAGGCAACGAUGCAUAGCCGACCUGAGAGGGUGAUCGGCCACACUGGAACUGAGACACGGUCCAGACUCCUACGGGAGGCAGCAGUAGGGAAUCUUCCGCAAUGGGCGAAAGCCUGACGGAGCAACGCCGCGUGAGUGAUGAAGGUCUUCGGAUCGUAAAACUCUGUUAUUAGGGAAGAACAUAUGUGUAAGUAACUGUGCACAUCUUGACGGUACCUAAUCAGAAAGCCACGGCUAACUACGUG
rnacentral:rRNA from 1 species